AAAAAAAUUGUCAGUAGAACUUGAUUAUUUUUAUGAUUGAAACUUAGCUAAAAGAUGAAAUAAAUUCGUAUUAAACUAUAAUUUUAUAUUUGUGGAGGUGUCUUGGUGACAUGUUGGUCACGGGCUUGAGUCCAGAAAUAGUCUCUUUUCAUAUUAUACAAGUUAAAGACUAUUUACAUUAUCCUCCUCACCUUUUUGACACUGGUAUAUUAGUUGUUAGU
rnacentral:lncRNA from 1 species